CAGUGGCAGCAGGCUUGGGUGUCACCAAGUCCUCACGUUUCAUGCUGUUUCUGGAGGUUCUGGCCUUUGUGGCCUCGGAAAGGAAGGUGAUCUGGUGCUUUGGGGAAGGCCCUCGGGAUGCUCCUCCAGAUGGUCUUCUUCAGGCCUUUUGCUCAGCAUUGAUCUGAUCAGUUCUGCCAGCUCUGGGCCAUGAUCUCUGGCACUUCGCGGCUUUCCAUCAUAAACUCCAGACUUCGUGUCUUUUGCAUGGAAAGCACGCGGUGCCCAUUUCAUAUGACACCGCACCCCGGAGCCCAAACGUCAGCCCUGCAGGUGUUGGGUUUGUUGGGGACAAUUUUGGGCUCAGGUGCAGGGGCGCUUCCCCAGGGCAGGCGCGUCCUGGUCCCCAUCUGAGACCGUGGGCUCCUGGCAGGAGGACCUGGAGUUUUCAGAUCCCCGGGAAGGGUGUAUUUCCCCCACUCUCGGGCACAAGCUGCCCUUUGGUGGCUUUGGGCACGGAUCACCGCCUUGCAGAAGCCCGCUAUAGCGUGGAGCAAGCGGUGUGUCCCCGCCUGGGACUACGCCUGGGUGAUGGCGCCUGGAGGCCUUGGCUGGGACAGAUUGGGGCCUCCGGGUCGGUCAGCGGCUGGCGCCCGGCUGCGGCUUUCAGAGGCUUUUGGUCACCGCCUGCCAUCGAGAUCCGCUCCCCCGAACUGGCCCUGCCCACGGCGCGCGGGUAGUAGCGGACAGCCAGGAGCCAGUGGCAGGCGCCGCCGUUGGGAUGACGGGCAGGAGGCUGCGCUGGAGCCCGCUAGGCAGCGCGGACCCCUAAAGCAGCGGGGCGGGGUCCCACUCUGGCACCCAGGCUGGAGAGCAUUGGUGCUAACAGGGCUCACUGCAGCCUCAACCUUUCAGGUUCCAGCGAUACUCCCACCGCAGCCUCCCAAGUAGCUGGGACUACAGGUGGGUGCCACCAAGUCCGGCUAAUUUUUAUUUUGUUUUAGAGAGACAGGGUUUCGCCAUGGUGUCCAGGCUGAUCUCCAAUUCCUGAGCUCAAGAGAUCUGCCCACCUUGGCCUCCAAAAGGGCCGGGAUUACAAAUGUGAGCCACCAUCCCCCACCCUCUAUAAUUUUAAAUUAGGCAACUGAAGUAAUGCAUUCAUCAUACCAUAUCAUGUUUUAUAAAGCAUAAAGUCAGGAUAACAAGGUGGUUAAGAGCAUGAACUCAGAGGUGAAAUCAUUCUGGAAAAAGUUACUUUUGAUAAGAAGAACAACACAUGGAAUAGAAGAUAAAAUUUGAAUUGUUUGCAAUGUUUUCAUUUUUACAAAAACGUUUAUGUUUGCAUUUAAUGUGAAGGGGAAAUUUCAAAAGAACUAUUUUAAAUAAUACAAAAUAUUUAUAUUAUCACUUUUUUUUUUUUGAGACACAAUCUCGCUCUGUCACCCAGUUGGAGUGCAGUGGUACGAUCUCAGCUCACUGCAACCUCCACCUCCUGGGUUCAAGCAAUUCUGCUGCCUCAGCCUCCCGAGUAGCUGGGAUUACAGGCGCCCACCACCAUACCUACCUACUUUUUGUAUUUUUAGUAGAGACAGGGUUUUGCCACGUUGGCCAGGCUGGUCUCAAACUCGUGACCUCAGGUGAUCUGCCCACCUUGGCCUCCCAAAGUGCUGGGUUUACAGGUAUGAGCCACCAUGCCCGGCCUAUCAUUACCUUUUUGAUUAUUAAAGGGUUACAUUAAAAUGAUAGGAUUUAAAAUAUCAUUUAAAUUAUUCAAAUUGUUAUUCAAAAUUUGAGAAGGAAAUACUGGGCUACAAAAUAGGCAUUAUUCUGUAAGUUCUGUGUCCUGCUCUGAGCAUAAGUGGUCUGACAUUAGGAAAGUCAAUAAUUACCGUAUAGUACUUUCUCUUUAAAUACUGCAAAUAAAUAAUGUAAUUAAAUGUAUCAUUUAAUCGUUACAUGUGGUAAAUCAGUCACACACACACACACACACACACACACACAUAGUGAAUUUACCAGAUGCAUCCCAUCAGUCUGACAAAACACCCAGGAUUAAUAAAACAUGUGUGGAGACCUAUUCUUCAAAGUAAAAUUCAAGUGGAUAUGGAUAUAUUAUCUUUUCCUUUGAAACUAAAAUUAAGGUAAUAUUCUACCUUUUAAAGGGAUAAUCAUGCUAAGUGUUAACUAUGAGAGUAUUUCUAUCAUUCACUCUUGUUGCCCAGGAUGGAGUGCAAUGGCACCAUGGUGGCUCACCAUAACCUCCACCUCCCUGGUUCAAGCGAUUCUCCUGCCUCAGCCUCCCGAGUAGCUGGGAUUACAGGCGUGUGCCACCAGGCCCAGCCAAUUUUGUAUUUUUAGUAGAGACGAGGUUUCUCCAUGUUGGUCAGUCUGGUCUCAAACUCCUGACCUCAGGUGAUCCACCUGCCUCGGCCUCCCAAAGUGAUAGGAUUAUAGGCGUGAGCCACUGUACCUGGCCUAUCUUCAUUUUUAAAAUAAAAUUUUAUGCUAUCUUUUAGUUUAUGUCCCUAUAGAAUAAUCUUGAUCCAUAUACUUUUGUUAUUACAGGCAGAACAGGAUAAACUUCCUCCCUCUGGAAUAAAUGCCAUGACCACUGCUCUUUGAGCAUUAUUUUUUAAAAUUAUUUUUUAAAUAGAAAUGUAUCUAAUCUACAGUAACCAAAUUCCUUUUCAACAUAACCACAUUUCUUUUAAGUGAAAAAUUCAAUAUUACCUUCUGUUAUCAAGAAUUCUCCGAAUACAAAAUAUUUAUUUUUUUAACUUUAGAAGAAAUUGAAAAUAUCUAGAUGUACUAAUCUAAAAAUACAAGCCCUGGGUUUAUAUGAUGUUAACGUGUCUUCCAAAUUUUAAGGAACAGGUAUUUAAAUGCCAUACACUUUGUUUUCAAAUUUAGAAAAUGUUUCAACCUUUUGACUGGGCAUGGUGGCUCAUCCCUAUAAUCUCAGCACUUUGGAAGGCCAAGAUGAGAGGAUCACCUGAGCUCAGGUGUUCUAGACCAGCCUGGGCAACAUGGUGAAACCCCAUUUCUACAAAAAAUUACAAAAAUUAUCCAGGCAUGGUGGUACCACCUGUAUUCCCAGC
rnacentral:lncRNA from 1 species